UCGGGAAUUUUGGGCAAUGGGCGAAAGCCUGACCCAGCAACGCCGCGUGAAGGAUGAAGUAUUUCGGUAUGUAAACUUCGAAAGAAUAGGAAGAAUAAAUGACGGUACUAUUUAUAAGGUCCGGCUAACUACGUGCCAGCAGCCGCGGUAAUACGUAGGGACCAAGCGUUGUUCGGAUUUACUGGGCGUAAAGGGCGCGUAGGCGGCUUGACAAGUCACUUGUGAAAUCUCUGGGCUUAACCCAGAACGGCCAAGUGAAACUGUCAUGCUAGAGUGCAGAAGGGGCAAUCGGAAUUCUUGGUGUAGCGGUGAAAUGCGCAGAUAUCAAGAGGAACACCUGAGGUGAAGACGGGUUGCUGGGCUGACACUGACGCUGAGGCGCGAAAGCCAGGGGAGCAAACGGGAUUAGAUACCCCCGUAGUCCCUGAGCGGGCUGGCAAGGCGC
rnacentral:rRNA from 1 species